rnacentral:snRNA from 1 species
GUGCUCGCUUCGGCAGCACAUAUACUAAAGUUAGAAUGACACAGAGAUUAGCAUGGCCCCUGCGCAAGGAUGACACGCAAAUUUGUGAAGCAUUCCAUAUGUAA